AUACCAUCAAGCUGAUAUUAUCACCGCUAGGUCGUGAUUCUAUAGCGAUUCAUAACUAACCACAAGUCGAAUAUUUUUUUAUUAAUAACUUACAAAUUUGUUAUUGGCUUGUCAUUUAUUUGUAUAAUACAUUAAAUUAACUUAAGGUCCCAAAAAUAUAUUAUAGUCACAAUGUAAAAUAAAAAUAAAUGCAUUUUAUGAUCAUGUGAUAAAUGUAUCAAUGACAAUAAUACAAAAAUAUAUACAUCAUAUUUUAAUAGAAAUGGUAAGAUUUAGUCCACAUUGCAAGCACAUCUCUAAACAAAACACACCCACCUAUCUGUAUUCACAAGUAAAAAAUAGAAUGACAAAAUACACAGUCCAAUGCAUAUGCACAAUACCCAGCAACGGAGUAUGUCGUUUUAGUGUAGUUGUUUGCCAUGAGAAAUAUUUCCCUUGUUAAACCACAUCAUUCCAAAGAUCAUGUAGAUCAGAUUGGUCUACACUGGUCAAUACUGAUGACUUAAAGUCACUUAUAGUAAUGGAGGCAAUACAAGCAAAAUAUCCAGAAUUAUGUUUGACUAUAAGUCAAAGACCAGUAAAACUUCUCAGCCACCAAUCUCAAAAUAAGUGUAAGAUCAGACUAGGUAGGCAUUCAAAGCUGGACCAUAAUCUGUGUGAAUCCAGAAUAGGCAGACAU